AAUCCUUUGUCCCUGGGUGAGAGUGCUUUCUGAAUGCAGUGCACCCAGGCAAGGAUUCUG
rnacentral:pre_miRNA from 1 species